AACGAACGCUGGCGGCAUGCCUAACACAUGCAAGUCGAACGAGACCUUCGGGUCUAGUGGCGCACGGGUGCGUAACGCGUGGGAACCUGCCCUUAGGUUCGGAAUAACUCCCCGAAAGGGGUGCUAAUACCGGAUAAUGUCUUCGGACCAAAGAUUUAUCGCCUUUGGAUGGGCCCGCGUUGGAUUAGCUAGUUGGUAGGGUAAAAGCCUACCAAGGCGACGAUCCAUAGCUGGUCUGAGAGGAUGAUCAGCCACACUGGGACUGAGACACGGCCCAGACUCCUACGGGAGGCAGCAGUGGGGAAUAUUGGACGAUGGGCGAAGGCCUGAUCCAGCAAUGCCGCGUGAGUGAUGAAGGCCUUAGGGUUGUAAAGCUCUUUUACCCGGGAUGAUAGUGACAGUACCGGGGGAAUAAGCUCCGGCUAACUCCGUG
rnacentral:rRNA from 1 species